GUGGAGCGCUUAGAAGUGAGAAUGCCGGUGUGAGUAGCGAAAGACGGGUGAGAAUCCCGUCCACCGAUUGACUAAGGUUUCCAGAGGAAGGCUCGUCCGCUCUGGGUUAGUCGGGUCCUAAGCUGAGGCCGACAGGCGUAGGCGAUGGAUAACAGGUUGAUAUUCCUGUACCACCUAUAAUCGUUUUAAUCGAUGGGGGGACGCAGUAGGAUAGGCGAAGCGUGCGAUUGGAUUGCACGUCUAAGCAGUAAGGCUGAGUAUUAGGCAAAUCCGGUACUCGUUAAGGCUGAGC
rnacentral:rRNA from 1 species